rnacentral:rRNA from 1 species
UACAGAGGUCUCAAGCGUUGUUCGGAUUCAUUGGGCGUAAGGGUGUGUAGGUGGCGCCGUAAGUCGGGUGUGAAUUCGGAGCUUAACUCGAAACUGCAUUCGAUACUGCGGUGCUUGAGGACUGGAGAGGAGUACUGGAAUUCAUGGUGUAGCAGUGAAAUGCGUAGAGAAUCAUGAGGAAGACCAGUGGCGAAGGCGGGUCUCGUGGACAGUUCCUGACACUGGAGACACGAAGGCCAGGGAGCAAACGGG